rnacentral:lncRNA from 10 species
GCUUGGACCCGGGAGGCGGAGGUUGCAGUGAGCCAAGAUCAUCCCAUUCAUUGCACUCCAGCCUGGGCAACAGAGUGAGACUCUGUCUCAAAAAAAAACAAAAACAAAAACAAAAAACAAAAAAAAGCUAGAGAAAGGAGAGUAACAGUAAAGUAAUUUGUCUUUCUCCUUUUUUUUUCUUUCAACCUUGCUCUGGAAGAGGGAGAGGUGUCUGGAGCCUGUUCCUUUGGUCUUGGCUUUUCGGACAGCGUUAUUUUAUAACUGUCCUUUAAGUGAGCUGCUAAGCAGAGGAAAACUUGUUUCUUUUCCUUUUAACCUUUGCCUUGCCUGCUACUUUUCUUGAAGUGAAUGAAUGCAUAUUUAUUUUUAAAUUUUCUGCCUCACUGGCAGAUAUUAAACUGGAUGUCCCCAAAAACUUGCAACCAUUUUCUUACUAAUAAAAUCUGGAAAUAUUAUUUAUUUAGUUUUAUAAUAAAGACAGGGCCUUACUUUGUUGCCCAGGCUGGUCUCAAAUUCCUAGGCUCAAGCAAUCCUCCUGCCUUGGUCUCCCAAAGUGCUGGGAUUACAGGCGGGAGCACCGAGCCUGGCCUCAAAAUCUGGAAGUAUUGAAUAUAGGGCACAUCCAAUCCAAGAGCAUCAGGCCUCUUGUUACCGGAUAGAAUUGUGUUUUGGUGACUAGGCACAGUGGCUCAUGCCUGUAAUCCCAGCAGUUUGGGAGGCCAAGGUGGCCAGAUCACUUGAGGUCAGGAGUUCGAGACCAGCCUGGCCAACAUGGUGAAACGCUGUCUCUACUAAAAAUACAAAAAUUAGCUGAGCGUGGUGGCAUGCACUUGUAAUCCCAGCUACUAGGGAGGCUGAGGCAGGAGAAUCACUUGAACCCAGGAGGCGGAGGUUGCAGUGAGCACCACUGCACUUCAGCCUGGGUGACAGAGGGAGACUCGGUCUCAAAAAAAAAAAAAAAAAAGGAUUGUGUUUUGGUGGGGAGGGUCCUGUAGCUAAGGGCAGGGAUGCUGUGACCAUGUGUCCUGCCCCAGGGAUUGCAUCCUCUGUGUGGGUGAGCAACUUAGAGUGAGCCUGGAGUGCAGACUGUCAGCCUCUGAGGUUUCAGGUUGUGUUUUAGAGUGGACCUUGAUGCCCAGCUCCACCCAGCUAACGCCAGUGGUAAAUGUUUGGGGGAAACACCUCUUAUUUGUUGUAGUUAACAUACAAGGAGCUGGGCAAGUGACACAUGGGAUAAAUUUUUUUUUUUUUUUGAGAGGGAGUCUUACUCUGUUGCCCAGGCUGUAGUGCAGUGGCAUGAUCUUGGCUCACUGCAACCUCCUCUUCCCAGGUUCAAGCAAUUCUCCUGCCUUGGCAUCCCAAGUAGCUAGGACUACAGGCAUGCGCCACCAUGCCCCGCUAAUUUUUGCAUUUUUGUUAGAGACGGAGUUUUGCCAUGUUGUCCAGGCUGGUCUGAAACUCCUGACCUCAGGUAUCCACCUGUGUCGGUCUCCCAAAGUGCUGGGAUUACAGGCUUGAGCCACUGCGCCGGGCCAGAAAUUUUUGAAACAGAAAGAAAUAGGCUGGGCGCAGUAGCUCACACCUGUAAUCCCAACACUUUGGGAGGCUGAGGAGGGAGGAUCGCUUCAGCCCAUGAGUUCGAGCACAGCCUGGGAAACACAGUGAGAACCCCCCCCCCCCAAUCUCUAUUUAAAAACAUAAUAAAAAUUAAAAAUAGGCCAAAUAGGUCAAACCUGGAUUUCAAAAGAGGACCCCCACGGGGAUUUCAUUAAUUGCAGAAUCAGUGCCGCGGUCCCUUGCUUCCCUCACCUACUCUUAUCCCAAGUGGCGGUGGCGGCAGCGCAGAGCAGCUUCUGAAGGUCCAGGAGCUCUUUUGUUCCUCCUCUGCAAAGCAAAGGUGCCACAGGGCGCGGCUUUCCGAGAAAGCGUACUCCGCACGGUGCACCUCUCCGUCUGCAGGCGCUGAGCCCCCGGAGGAGGAGGGGGCAGGCUCGCGGAGCCCCUACCCUGGGGCGGGGCCAAGGCGUCCUCCCAGCCCGGCUUUGCAGAGCAGAGAUCUGGUGUCUCCAGUUUACGGAGGCACUUUCAGAACUGAUCAGAAGCCACCCCGCUUAUCAGCAGAUCUCAGGAGAGUGUUCAGUGGAGGCCCUGCCGGUCUGCACAGCUCACCUCCCUGGGAACUGCUCGCCUGAGCGUCGGAGCCGGCCCUGGCCCCCUGCAGCCAGAAAGUUGCAGCCGCAGGAGCCCCGGAGGCCCAGGACGCAGGGGGAGGAACAGGAAGAGAAGAGUGUGGCCUCCUAGAAAUCUAGCACGGAGAAAGGUAAGUCUGAUUUGUCUUUUUUUGGUCU